CCUCUCCGAAAUUUAUAAGCCUCCUGAUGGUCGGCUGACCAAGGAGACGCAAAUCGGAGAGGGCGGCACUGGAGCCGUGUUCAUGGGCCAUCACCAUCGCAGAGGUAAGGUAGCCGUCAAGAUGGCCAACAUCACUUGGGUAAGGUUUCUUUAUAGUUCCUUUCUCCAUAUCAUCCCUAUUGUGUGGCUGCCUAUGUGAGCUAAAGGGUUUCUAUUAUUCCUCUCCAGGAUGAGGAGUCAGUCUGCCGAGAGGUAAACUUUCUCCUGAAGUUCAGCAGGCACAGGAACAUCGCCUCUUACUAUGGAGCUUAUUACCACCCUGCUCCAAACAAGGAGUCAUCGGAGUAUCUGGAAGUAAGAAAUUGUUUGUUGCAUCACAUUCAUCCCUUAUGUGCCAAAGAGACCUCCAUUGGAGGCGAUAAAAUACAUACAUGGCCUGAAAUCAUUCUUUCCUAUUGCAGCUUGUCCUUGAGUACUGCAGCGGCGGCUCCCUGUACGACUUGAUCAACAGCAGCAAAGGCCAAUCCCUGAAGGAGACCUGGAUUGGCUUUGUCUGCAGGGAGGUAUUGAAGGUAAACUUGGAUUAACCCCAUGUGUCUUUGUUGGGAAUAAUUAGCUAAAUGUCUGUUAUAUUCUUAUAACCUACAUCUCAAUCUCCCCAGGCUCUCAACCACGUUCACCACCAUCGGGCC